rnacentral:rRNA from 1 species
GACGAACGCUGGCGGCGUGCUUAACACAUGCAAGUCGAACGGAGCACCCUUGAAAGAGACUUCGGUUGAUUGAUAGGAAUGCUUAGUGGCGGACUGGUGCGUAACACGUGAGUAACCUGCCCCGGAGAGUGGAAUAACACAGCGAAAGUUGUGCUAAUACCGCAUAACAUGGUUGUACCGCAUGGUGCUGACCAUCAAAGNUUUAUCGCUUUGGGAUGGACUCGCGUCCGAUUAGCUAGUUGGUGAGAUAACGGCUCACCAAGGCGACGAUCGGUAGCCGGACUGAGAGGUUGACCGGCCACAUUGGGACUGAGAUACGGCCCAGACUCCUACGGGAGGCAGCAGUGGGGAAUAUUGGGCAAUGGGCGCAAGCCUGACCCAGCAACGCCGCGUGAAGGAAGAAGGUCUUCGGAUUGUAAACUCCUGUUGUUGAGGAAGAUAAUGACGGUACUCAACAAGGAAGUGACGGCUAACUACGUGCCAGCAGCCG